CGCGCGUAUUUGGCAAGUGGCCCUCUUUAUGGAGGGAAAGAGGACAGUGGUGUCUUGUAUCUAUCAUGGGUACCAGCUCAUUUUCUUCUUCUUCAUUUUCUCUCUCUAUUAUAUUUUUUUUAAAUACAUUUUUUCUCUAUAUUAAAACAAUUCCUUAUCUCAGAAUUAUUAUUAUAAUAUUGAGCCAAGAAAAUUGUAGUAAUUAGCAGGAGGAAGAAAAAAAGAGAGGAGAAAGCUAUAGGUGGGUCCUACGCGUUACCCUGGAUUUGGGGGGUGGGAUGAGAAGGGGCUGCCUCUGCUGAAAUUCAACAACAGCAAACGUGAUUUACACCCACAAUUCCAUAUUUCACUCUCUCUCGGCAUUAAGCUCCCCCACUAACUUUGUUUAUGUUUAUUUUUUUUCUCUCUCUCUCUAGAAAGAAAUCCACAGCACUGUCUAAAACAGUCGCUUUUUUUGUUAGAGGGAGGUUAGAGAGGAGCAUUGUGCUUAGUGGAACCGGGUAUUUAAUUAAUUAGCAUUAGUGCGUUUUGUUUUUUUAGUGCUCUCUUCCCCUUGUGUGUUUUCUGGUUUGUUGCUCUUUUUCUUGAAGAUGAGCUCAAAAUUGGAGGGUGAUUAAGUGCUUGCUUUCUUGGGAAUCAGAGUGUGAUUAGAGUGGAUUUUGGUUCUUGGAUCCAUUUCUUCUGAUUCCUUUGAGAUGUGACUUGGACAAAUAGGAGGCUUAUCUAAUAUGGUUGCUUCCUUACUCAUAUUAUUUAGUUGGAGACAGAUUAUGGAAAGCAAAGUUGUCUGCCAUUAGUAUGCUUUAUCAGAUAGAAAGGAGGUUCAAGAUGGAAGAUACAUUUGCUGAUGCUCAGAAAGGUGGCCAUGCUAGGGGGGAUUCAUCAUCAAAUAUCUCCAACAAGGAUGGAGGAUUAUCAGGUGACAACAGUUUAGAUUCAGAAUCAAAAUUGAAAAGGUUGGUUAGAAGGACAAAUUCACAGCACGCAUUGAUUUUAAAAUUGAAGCAAUUACAACACAGCAGAAGUUACAUUAGGGAAUCUUUUCUUCGAAGCAUUCGUGUCUUGGAGAGUUGGAUCCCAAAGCAUAUGGUAACUGUAGAUGAGAAAUAUCUUCGUCGUUGCCUAGAAUUAAUUCAUAUCAGUGCUUCAAAAGCAGCCCCUAGCAAUAUCUCCCUAAACUUGGGAUGGGGAGAAAUGGGCAUUUUGUCUGAUGGCUUGAGUCCAGCUAAAAUAGAGACUGAAAAUACAUGUGAUUUCACUAGGUUUCAUUUUGACUGUCCGUUGGCACCUGGGAAUGGGAGUGUGGUUAUUAGUCCAGCAGGACACUGGAUUGUUGGUUCCAUCAUGGGUAGCAAGAGUAUGGUGAAUAUACUUAACAGCCCUUUGUUUCACAAAUAUGGUGCAUACGAUGGCGAUGCCAACUAUGAGAAAGUUAGUUUCAGUGAUGUUGAUGGAUCUACAUGUUACGAUUUCAUGAACUCUCUGGGUGUGUUGAGUAAUUAUUCAUCCAACAAGCUAUGCAAGGAAGCAUCAGUUCCGGGGAACCAUAAAUAUGAAUCUGAGACUCUGCAUGGAAGGCCUGCUUCUGUGUCAAGUACAAACUCUACAUGUUCUGAUCAGUCGUCAUCAUCUCUCUCUGCCCCUGUUACUCAAGGAAUGCUCCAAUGCACGUGGAAGGGGGGGAGCCCGCAUUUUGUUUUCUCUCUGGAUGAUCAAAAGGUGGUUUAUGUGGCCAACUUGUGGAAGGUUGAAUCAGCAGAUGAUAAAGCUGUGGACUAUACAUACCUAUUCCAUUUAAGGAUGGGUGGCCAAAAGGAACAUGAGAUUCAUGACAGUGACUCUCAUCUUGUAGGUAAGAUGAAGGUAUCAACUUCUUUUACCCUGUGCCCAAAUAAAUCUAGAAUAAUGGAGAGAGAGUUUGUUUUAUUUGGUGGUAAUGAAAAUCUUUUGCGAAUGCAAACUUCAAGCCAUGACCUCAAAAAGAGCAAGGGAUUGUCAAAGAAGGUGGCGGAAGUGUUCCGGAGCAGUCACUCAAUGAAGAAGAGAAAUACUUCCAGAUUUAGUGGAUCAAGUGCCAUAAUGGAGAGUUGUCCUUGGGAGCCAUUUCAAGAUACAGAUAACAAUGUUGAUGCACUUUGUGGGCCCAAUCUUUUAGAGAAUCAUCUUCCACCAAAUCUUGAAUUAGUUGCCAUUGUUGUGAAGGACCAUCUUCCUGAUAAUCACCAAGAGAAGGUUGGAGGUUGGGGCUUGAAGUUUCUAAAGAAAUCAAGUGUAAAGCAAACAGAUGAUCUCAUGGAAUCCUCACAACCUCAUGCUUGUUCUAUGCGAGAUACUGGUGACUGCUCAACAAGUAUGGAUGUUCUUAUUCCAGCUGGUCUUCAUGGUGGUCCAAGGGCCAGAAAUGGUGGUCCUUCCAGUCUUAUUGAAAGAUGGAGAUCAGGUGGAUGUUGUGACUGUGGUGGCUGGGACCUAGGGUGCCCAUUAACGGUACUUAAGAAAAGACUGAGUAACAAAGAGCUUUCACCCCAAGCAGAUAUUCAGGGAGAGUGCAAGUUAGUUGAUUUGAUCAUACAGGGUUCAGAGAACAGUGCUCCCCCCUUGAGGAUGGUGAAUGUGCAUAAUGGCUUGUAUUUUGUUAAUUUUCAGUCAACACUGUCAGCUUUGCAGGCUUUCUCAAUUGCAGUGGCAUUUAUUCAUACCCAGAGUCCUGCUUUCCGACCCCAAAAUGUACAGGGAUGAAAGUAGCAAGAUCCAGGAUUGAGGUUUAUAUAGUUAUUGUAACUCCCUUACUGUAUUACAGCACUUCAGAUUAAAUAUGAUCCUAACGGGCUAUUUUGCAUUCAACUGGGUGGAAGCUUAGACGACACAUCAAUCGGGUUUAUUUCAGGUCUUUCUACUUCUACUCACCUGUUAAAGUGGUAGAUUUUACUGUUCUCAACAAGCUAGCUGUGGUCACCAAUGUUCAUUUAUGCAGCUUUCUUAAACUUAACACAUGACCUUUCGAUUCCAUGUAAUUUUGUUGUUUCCUUCUUUUAUUAAUUUUCCUUUCUAAUCACAUUUAAUGUCAAGGGAUAUGUAUUGACAAUAACUUGUUUUAUACAGAAAAUUCAUGUAUCAGGCUUGUGAUAACAAAUUCAAGGGGUCAUCUUUUAUGAAAUUUUAAAUAUAUGUUGUACAUAUUUCUUGGAAGAACAUGCAUGGUACUGCAAGCUCAUGGAAAAGUACUCUAUUUCUGAAGAUUUUUCUUCUUUAUUUAUUUAUUUAUUUUUUAUGACAGAAUAUGGAGGGACUAAGAUAUUCCAAGUUCCAUGUUUUGGGAGAACUUUUAAUUUGCCUUCUGCAUAUGGUAUAUACUGUAUGACAUUUGUGUUAUCUUCAACUGUGCUCUGUUUACAUGUAGCUUUGGACUUGGCUGGGAUAACUUGGUCAAUUCCGCUUCAAAACAAGAUUCAAGUUGUCAUGGAAUGAGAAGGAAGAAGAAGCAUGCUUCGUCUUUUUAAUUGGAAACUGUAAUGUCUGCUUUCCUCAGUAAUGUUGUUCAGUUGCACUCUGUAAUUUUAUACACAAUCGCAAAGAUGGUGCAGUAUGAUAUGUGCGCUUAAUGGAGAUAUUGUCAUUAUGUUUAACUAGUAUAUGUCUGUUUUUUUCGUUGUCCAUUCAAGUUGCAAUGUAGUUUCAUGAACUAUUGAAUUUUCAUCCUUCAAAGAUUGAUGGUUUGAACGCGAAGUGUUGAAUUUAUCA